rnacentral:rRNA from 1 species
GACGAACGCUGGCGGCGUGCUUAACACAUGCAAGUCGAACGGAAAGGCCUGCUUUCCCUUGUGGAUUGCGGGUACUCGAGUGGCGAACGGGUGAGUAACACGUGAGUGAUCUGCCCCCAACUUGGGUAUAAGCCUGGGAAACUGGGUCUAAUUCCCGAUAGGACUGCAGGGUGGUGCCUGUGGUGGAAAACGAUUUUCUAGUGGUUGGGGAUGAGCUCGCGGCCUAUCAGCUUGUUGGUGGGGUAAUGGCCUACCAAGGCGGCGACGGGUAGCCGGCCUGAGAGGGUGGACGGCGACAUUGGGACUGAGAUACGGCCCAGACGCCUACGGGAGGCAGCAGUGGGGAAUAUUGCACAAUGGGCGGAAGCCUGAUGCAGCGACGCCGCGGGGGGGAUGACGGCCUUCGGGUUGUAAACUCCUUUCGACCGCGAGGAAGCCACCUGGUUGGAAGGGUGGUGACGGUAGUGGUAGAAGAAGCACCGGCUAACUACGUG